AUUUUAUACACUUUCGGCUACCGAAUGUAAAUAGUUUUUGGCGCGGGCUAAAAGUUAUAAUACCCUUGGCUCUUCUUUUUGAUAGUAUAUGCUCCAUUCAUCAUACCUGGUUUUUGCCCAUAGUGAACAUAAACUCUUUGGGAAAAGAAAAGGGUAGUCACUGUGUAUGCAUGGAAUGCAAGAUGUUGUAAUUAGAGAAAGGCAAAUGACCUAACACAUGUUUCAUGUUUCCUAGCAAGGUUUUGAUAAUAUAAAAAUAUCUCAUGCAAUUCGUGGUCGUAAGUGAAAACUUAGUGAAAGACUGGUUUUUUCUUGUCAACUAUGAAUUCAUCAGGUUUCACUAUGGUCUUAAAUAUUAUGACUAAUUAGUAUGAUAGCAAGCUAUUAGAAAGAGACCUAAACCAAUUGGACUGCCAUUUCUUCCUCAAGCCAAGAUACAGAGAGGUCCCUAAACCAAUUGGAUUGCCAUUUCUUCCUCAAGCCAAGAUACAGAGAGGUCCCUAAACCAAUUAGAUUGCCAUUUCUUCUUUAAGCCAAGAUACAGAGAGGUUUCACUCUGAGCUCAGAGAUCAUGACAAGUUUGGAUAUUAGCAAGGUACUCCCUACAGUACUGGAGAGCGCUAGACCUAUUAGAUUGCCAAGUCUUCCUCUAGCCAAGAUACAAAACGAUUAUGAAAUUCCACGACACCCAAAAGGAAACCAGUUAUUUAAGAAGCGAUCUUCCUAACACAUGUUUGAUGCCUCCUAACAAUAAUUUGAUGGUCAUAAUAACAUAUCUCAUCCAAUUUGUGGUUUCUUAAGUGGAAAUUUAACGAAAGGGUGGACCUCCAUGGCUUUGGUCUUGUGGUAAGAGCGCUGUGUAUGAUGUAUGGGUUAGGCGCACAUCAUGGGUUCAAACCCUGCCAUAGACAAAAACCCAUUAUUUAAGUGGAGAAGAGUAGAGAGGUGGCCCAUUAUCUACUGAGUUUCGAACCAUGUGCUAUUGGCCCUCAGAGAUUUCCCGGUUAUAUAUAAAUGCAAAUCCUUAAUGAAAGGGUGGUGUUCUCUUGUGAAUUCAUUAGGUUUCACUCUGAGCUUAGAGAUUAUGACAAGUUAGAAUUUUAUCAAGCUAUUUUUUUUUAGAAGGAAAUUUUUUAUCAAGCUAUUUUUGGACACCAAAAUUUGCAUUUAGCAUAUAAAUCUAGUGAACUAGUUUUCAGUGACAGCUAGGAUAUGAAAGUAAGAUUUACUCAUUGCCAUGGGCAGUACACAGAUUUUUAGACCAUAAAAAAGGAUUAAAUAUGAAUGAUACCAAGUAUUUUGAACAUUACAGAUGUUGCAUCUUUUAACAGAUUCAGUGUGUUUAGAUAUAAAUAGCGAGAUUAUAUGCGUUGUGGAAGUGUAGAUAGUAACGUAUUAAAGUCACUUGUUCUUGAAAAUAUAUUUUGGAACUAUACCUUGAUGUGUUCUACAGUUACCAUCUCUUUGACCUGUUAACAUUUUACGAACAUCAUUACAAUUUUUAAUUACUGGGGGGACUCUACUUUGUUAACAUGCAUAUGUUUGUUAGACCCUAUUGAGUAUACAUGUACUGGAGCUACAUCCUAAACCUGCUCAAUUGCAACUCUUAUUGCAUAAGACACAAUUCUUUUACUCUAUCCACUCAAUGCAGGAUAGUUCAGCCAAUUACCCUCUCUAUUGCCAGCCCGAAAUAACCAUUCAUGCCACUUUUACAAGCAGUUAGAAGAAUUUCUUGAACAGGUAAGAACUUCAAAACUGGGCAAUUUUGUUUUUUCUUGGUCCUGGCUGAUGAAAUUUGUUGCCAUGUGGAGCCUGAAAAUCCUGUUAGUAACGAGGACAAGUAUUAGGAACAUGAAAUAGGAGAAGUUCAAUAGACCUGUCUUAUAGAUGACUCCAUAUUUUCUUGUUAUGCAAAUUCGAUAACAUAGGUAGGAAGGACCAAACAACCAUAGCUGCUUCUGGGCAUUUUAAGUACUUUAGGGUCUUCAACACAUUUCCAACUCUUCUUGUACAUAGAGAAAUAGAAUGUAAAAAUCAUUUUGGAUAGUGCAAUUCAAAGAAAAUCUAUGUUUAUUAUAUUCCUUGCUCUGA